UUGCACAAGGGAUAGUAGGGGAAAUCCUUUUUUAUCUCGUUUUUUUGACGAGAUAAAAAAGAUUGCAACGGAUAGCCCGACCAAGC
rnacentral:sRNA from 1 species